GAUGAACGCUGGCGGCGUGCCUAAUACAUGCAAGUCGAGCGAACGGACGAGAAGCUUGCUUUUCUGAUGUUAGCGGCGGACGGGUGAGUAACACGUGGAUAACCUACCUAUAAGACUGGGAUAACUUCGGGAAACCGGAGCUAAUACCGGAUAAUAUUUUGAACCGCAUGGUUCAAAAGUGAAAGACGGUCUUGCUGUCACUUAUAGAUGGAUCCGCGCUGCAUUAGCUAGUUGUAAUGUAACGGCUUACCAAGGCAACGAUGCAUAGCCGACCUGAGAGGGUGAUCGGCCACACUGGAACUGAGACACGGUCCAGACUCCUACGGGAGGCAGCAGUUGGGAAUCUUCCGCAAUGGGCGAAAGCCUGACGGAGCAACGCCGCGUGAGUGAUGAAGGUCUUCGGAUCGUAAAACUCUGUUAUUAGGGAAGAACAUAUGUGUAAGUAACUGUGCACAUCUUGACGGUACCUAAUCAGAAAGCCACGGCUAACUACGUG
rnacentral:rRNA from 1 species